UUAACUAUUAUAUAGUACUCAGACAUCACUAAAAACAGAGUUUAGGUUUCCUCUGGCAGGCACGCACAAGCCGGGGCCCGUGGUGUUUCCACGGCCUACCAAAGCAACGAAGGUAUAAUAUUCAAGGGUGGGAGAUCUACCCGUGAGGGCAUGAACUCUGUAAUGAUCCUUCCGCAGGUUCACCUACGGAAA
rnacentral:misc_RNA from 1 species